GGCUGGUCCAAAGGUGGUGAGUUAUCUCACUUGCUUGUUCACAGUUACAGAUUGAGCUCCUUGUUCUACCACUUUGCCCCCUUCUCCCUACUGCAUUUGACUAGUCUUAA
rnacentral:Y_RNA from 1 species